rnacentral:pre_miRNA from 1 species
UAACCUCCGCAGGCUGACUGGCCCUCAGGCUGAGCUGGGUAUCUUUUCUGUUUGGGAGGAGGGGGGAGGGACUAAUAUCUUUUUGAAAGGCUCACCCUCAAACACAACUAAGAGC